ACAGCAGUAGCCACGGUAAUACGAAGGGUGCAAGCGUUACUCGGAAUUACUGGGCGUAAAGCGUGCGUAGGUGGUGGUUUAAGUCCGUUGUGAAAGCCCUGGGCUCAACCUGGGAAUUGCAGUGGAUACUGGGUCACUAGAGUGUGGUAGAGGAUAGUGGAAUUUCCGGUGUAGCAGUGAAAUGCGUAGAGAUCGGGAGGAACAUCAGUGGCGAAGGCGGCCAUCUGGGACAACACUGACGCUGAGGUGCGAAAGCGUGGGGAGCAAACAGGAUUAGAUACCCGCGUAGUCCCUGUCUCUUAUAC
rnacentral:rRNA from 1 species